GGAGAAGGUGGUCGCAAGAACUCUUCCAACUUCAAAAAAGCCAAGAGAGUCAAAACUGAGGAUGAAAAAGAGAAAGACCCAGAAGAGAAGAAAGAAGUCACAGAAGAGGAGAAAACCAAGGAGGACAAGCAAGAAGCCAAAGGGGUUAAAGAGGAGGUCAAAUUGGCCUGAGCAGUCCUCUCCAGUUCUGGCUUCUUGCAAAGCGCCCCACCUUUCUCCUGUAACCCCUCAGAUUUUAUAUUUUCUAUUUCUGUGUAUUUAUAUAAAAAUAUAUUAAAUAUAAAUAUUCCCAGGGACUAGACAGGAACCAGGGCCAUGAGCCCAGGGCACACGUGCUGGGCACGCUCUUAUAAUAGCUGCCCUGUCAUCCUUCCCCAAUUCUUAAUUUUGAACCAUAAAGGGUGCCAGUUCUGGGUGGAAGGGAUUCUAUUCUCUUAAACAUCCAUAGAACAAAAUUCCGAAAUGCCAAAUUCCUGCCUAGUGGCUUUGGAAAGAUGCCCAUAUUGAGCAUUCUAGGAAUGGCUGGGUCUUCAGGAACCCCCUGUUCUUUACAGGCGCCUUAAGGUAACAGCAGCUACAUUUAGAUUGGUUCUGUUAUACCUUCCCACUGGCCCCAAGUGAGUUAAGAAACUCACACUAUCUGACCUCUGACCCCUCUCACUCCUCCAUUUUGCAGGUGGGAAUUGGUAGUUUCCUUUUUGAGAUGCUAUUUUUGGGGACUUUGUGUGUGUGUAUGUGUGUGAGAGAAUCUUUGUAAUAAAAUGGUACAUUUCUAUACCCUCCUGAGCUCA